CCUACGGGGGGCUGCAGUGGGGAAUCUUGCGCAAUGGGCGAAAGCCUGACGCAGCGACGCCGCGUGCGGGAUGAAGGCCUUCGGGUUGUAAACCGCUUUCAGCAGGGACGCGGUACCUGCAGAAGAAGCCCCGGCCAACUACGUGCCAGCAGCCGCGGUAAUACGUAGGGGGCGAGCGUUGUCCGGAUUUAUUGGGCGUAAAGAGCUCGUAGGCGGUUCGGUAAGUCGGAUGUGAAAUCUCCACGCUCAACGUGGAGGGGCCAUUCGAUACUGCCGGACUCGAGUCCGGUAGGGGAGUGUGGAAUUCCCGGUGUAGCGGUGAAAUGCGCAGAGAUCGGGAGGAACACCCGUAGCGAAGGCGGCACUCUGGGCCGGACUGACGCUGAGGAGCGAAAGCGUGGGGAGCGAACAGGAUUAGAUACCCUUGUAGUC
rnacentral:rRNA from 1 species